UGAGGAAUAUUGGUCAAUGGGCUUACGCCUGAACCAGCCAAGUCGCGUGAGGGAAGACUGCCCUAUGGGUUGUAAACCUCUUUUGUCAGGGAGCAAUUGGCGCUACGUGUAGCGUUAUCGAGAGUACCUGAAGAAAAAGCAUCGGCUAACUCCGUA
rnacentral:rRNA from 1 species